AAUAUUUUUUCAAUUAUUUUAUGUGAAUUUUUUUUCUUGUAUAGUAUCUCAUACUAUGAUGAACACGUUAAAUUUUUAUUUACUGUUUUAUGGCGUUAUGAUUGUUAUUGUUAGAUACAACCCUCUUACCAUGAUCUUUUAUGUAAAAAGUUUGGCAAUAAUAAUAAAAAAGAGGGUCAGGUGCACUACCACCUCACAGCAUCACUAACUCAACAGUCCAGUACAGUUUCUCUCAGCGACAAUAUCUGCACAAACGAAACGUCGAACAGCUGCUCGAAGAUCUUGCCUUUGGAGAAGAUUGUUGAUUUUAUACUCUAAAAAUACGGUGAACCCCACAUCUUACUAUCAUCUCAACACAGCUGAGACAGUUCUGCUGCUGCGCUGUGCUUCACAAUCUCACUCUUCUCAACGGGGAUGUCGUUGAGCAACAGGAUGAGGAAGACCUUGAUGACGGCUCUCUGAACCACACAACCUUGAAACGAGAGCAGAAGAACACAUGCAGGACAAUCUGACUGCUGCUGUGUCUGCUCCAAACAAUCAUGUGCUGCUCUCCAUGAGCACCACUACCUGUAAAACAUUUACACAGAGUUUACAAGUACAUACAUUGAUUUAUUACUUUUGUAGUGUGCUAAACCACUGAACUGGUUCAAAACUGUGCUUGAGCACGGCUCUUUUCUCCAGCUUGAUCAGAGGAUUGUAGGCCCCUGUAAUAAGAGCACUGUCAAUCACUUCAGAUAAAAGCUCCAUCACAUUUUUUGAUGAUGCUUUUGAAAGUCAGCCUUCAUCGUAUAAACAGAAACCAGCAGAACAAACUUUACCAAAAUCAAAUCCUCAGUGUCUUUUGGUCUUUCUCUAGAUGCUCUCGCUGCUCAGGGGCCACUGAGGAUGAAGAGACCACAGCAGCAUCUGGUCCUGAUGAGACAGUAAGAGCUGGAGUGAUGGAACGUCUCAUCCGUGUCUCUGGACCAUUUCCGGAUGCUGCAGUGGACUUCUCCAUCCUCAGUGCACACACCAGUCUGCAGACAUUUUCAUAACCUACAGAAAUACACACACAC